rnacentral:rRNA from 1 species
AUGAGGGCCCUGGGAUGGAAUUGCCAAGGUAUGGGAAGGAAUCUUGGCAGUGAGAAGAUGGCCUUUCUUGCCAGGAUGAUCCAUUCUGCGAAACCUCAGAUAAUUUUUGUUUCUGAAAUUAAAUCGACAAAGGUAAAAUCUUCCGAUCUAUCUGCCAGAUUCAACAUGAAUGACGCUUUAGUGGUUCCCUCUCGAUGUCGCUCGGGUGGGCUUUGGCUAAUGUGGAAUGAUGAUCUGCAAGUUCAUGUUCAUAGUGCUAGCUUCCAUGUUAUCUUAGCUACUGCUGUACAUAGUACUAGCAAUCUGAAGUUUGGCUUAGUGUGUAUCUAUGGUGAUCAGUAUCAUCGUCAAACUUGUCAAAUCUGGAGUGAGGUGGUUGCUUUUGCGUAUAAUAACUCCAGUUUACCCAUGCUAUGUAUAGGGGAUAUGAAUGAGCUUUUGUAUGAUAUGGAUACAAACUCCCUUAAUAUAAAUCGCUCUCGCAUGUAUGGUUUUCGUGCUUUAGUGAAACAAUGCGGUCUCUUUGAUUUGGGUUUCAGUGGUCCAGCAUACACUUGGACAAAUAAAAGAUUUGCCUCUAAACCCACUUUUGAAAGAUUGGACAGAUGCUUGGUAAAUGCUGAAUGGUGUGCUGCUAAUCCUAUUUCUAAUGUUUACAACAUGCCUAUUAUCCACAAUCUGAGUGAUCAUGCUGCAAUCUUGCUGUCCACAGAAGGUCGCACUUGUAAUAUAAAAUGCUCUUUUAAGUUUAAAAAUUGGUGGCUUAAAGAACAAGAUUUCUUAAACCAUGCAAGAUCAGUUUGGCUUUCUUCAAAAAAUAAAUCCUUCUCAAAUAGAAUUAACCAUCUUGCAGGCUCUCUGAAGAUAUGGUGUAAGAAAAAGAAGCCACUGAAUCAGGAACUAAAUAAUUUAGAGGAGUAG